rnacentral:rRNA from 1 species
AACGAACGCUGGCGGCAGGCUUAACACAUGCAAGUCGAACGCCCCGCAAGGGGAGUGGCAGACGGGUGAGUAACGCGUGGGAACAUACCCUUUCCUGCGGAAUAGCUCUGGGAAACUGGAAUUAAUACCGCAUACGCCCUACGGGGGAAAGAUUUAUCGGGGAAGGAUUGGCCCGCGUUGGAUUAGCUGGUUGGUGGGGUAAAGACCUACCAAGGCGACGAUCCAUAGCUGGUCUGGGAGGAUGAUCAGCCACAUUGGGACUGAGACACGGCCCAAACUCCUACGGGAGGCAGCAGUGGGGAAUAUUGGACAAUGGGCGCAAGCCUGAUCCAGCCAUGCCGCGUGAGUGAUGAAGGCCUUAGGGUUGUAAAGCUCUUUCACCGGAGAAGAUAAUGACGGUAUCCGGAGAAGAAGCCCCGGCUAACUUCGUGCCAGCCGCCGCGGUAACAC